rnacentral:lncRNA from 1 species
UAGAUUCUUAUCUGCCCUUGUGAAAAUGAAACAAUAUCACACUGUCCUUUCCAUGUCCAAAACAAUUGAAUUGCUAGGAAUCUCUCACGAUGUUUAUUCUCUUAACAUCUUAAUUAAUUGCUUCUGCCGUUUACAUCUUGUGGAUUUUGGCUUCUCUGUUUUCGGAAAGAUGUUCAAAUUCGGAUUGGAGCCUACCAUUGUGACAUUUACUACCUUAAUUAAUGGGCUUUGUAUAGAGAGUAAAAUGGACAAAGCAGUGGAAUUUUUCGAUGAUAUGGUCGCACGUGGUUAUCAACCUAAUGUUUAUACUUUCAAUGUGAUAGUAAAGGGAUUGUGUAAAUUUGGGAAAACAAAUCUGGCUAUUGAGCUACUAAAGGAAAUGGCUGAUAGAGGUUGUGAGCCAGAUGUUGUGACAUACAAUGCAAUCAUUGACACCCUUUGCAAAGAUGAGCUAGUUGGUGAGGCUUUAGAGCUCUUCUCUCAAAUGAGGAAUAAGGGCAUUUCACCUCAUGUCAUCACUUACAAUAGUUUAAUUCAUGGUGUUUGCAAAUUAGGCCAAAAGAACCAAGCUUUGGCCUUGAUGAAUGAAAUGGUGGAGCAGAACAUAUUACCAAAUGUUUAUACCUUCAGUGUAUUGAUUGAUGCUCUUUGUAAGGAUGGAAUGGUUUCAGAGGCUCAAAAUACAUUCAAUGUAAUGAUUCAAAGAGGUGUAGAGCCUGAUGUGGUCACCUACAAUUCCUUAAUUGAUGGUCUUUGCAUUUCAGACCAAUUCCAGGAAGCUUUGGCCUUGUUGAAAGAAAUGGUGGGGAGGAACAUAUCCCCUGAUGUUUUUACCUUCAAUAUAUUGAUAGACACUCUUUGUAAGAAAGGACUGGUUUCAAAUGCACAGAAUAUAAUCAAAAUAAUGAUUCAAAGAGGUGUGGAACCUAAUGUUGUCACUUAUAAUUCAUUGAUGGAUGGAUAUUGUCUGUGCAAGCAAAUUGAUAAGGCUAGAAAGGUAUUUGAUCUGAUGGUGACCAAUGAAAUAGCUGACAUUUUUAGCUACAGCAUUUUGAUCAAUGGAUAUUGUAAGUGCAAAAUGAUAGAUGAUGCAAAGGAUAUUUUUGUUGAAAUGUCUCAUAAAGGUUUGGUUCCUGAUGUUGUUACUUGUUCUACUCUUAUAAAGGGUAUGUUUCAAGCAGGGAGGCCCCAAACUGCGCAGGAGCUCUUUAAGAAUAUGUGCUCUCAUGGUCAACAAACCAAAUAUAGUAACCUUCUCAAUUAUGAUUGAUGGCUUGUGUAGACAGGGGAAUCUCGAUGAGGCACUCACACUAUUGAAAGCAAUGGAGAAAAGUCAGUUGAAGCCUAAUUUUGUGAUCUAUAGCAGUCUGAUCAAUGGUAUGUGCAAAGUUGGGAAGAUUAAUGAUGCCAAGGAACUUUUUUCUAGUCUUUUUGAAAUUGGUUUACAACCUGAUGUUUAUGUAUAUAAUGCAAUUAUGAAAGGACUUUGCCAACAAGGAUUAAUGGAUGAAGCGUAUAAGGUAUUUAAAGACAUGGAAAAGGUAGGAUGUUUACCAAAUAAUUGUUGUUAUAAUAUCAUCAUUCAAGGGUUUCUCAAGCAUGAGGAUUUACCAAAAGCAUCAGAACUAAUCAACGAAAUGGUUGAUAAGGGGUUCUCUGCUGAUGCUGCUACCACAGAAUUGAUAGUACAUUUAUCGCUGAAUAAUGAUCUCAUUCUAAGCAAACUACGAAAUCGUUCUGAGGCUUCUAAAGGGGUGCAAUGAGGGAUCAACAAACUAAAUUUGUUAUAUCUUGACCGUUCAAGGGUGUCUUGGAGAGAAACUUGGUAAUUUGCCUUCUUCAAAUGUAGUAGAUAUGUAAUUUAACUAACUUCUUCAAAUUUCAUUUUUAUUUCAAUCAGCUAUGAUUCUCUUCCACAAAAUGAAAAUUUCUAACACUGUAAAUUACCUGCAGUGGAAACCAUGAUAUGUGUGUGCCUUUCGCUUGAACUCAGACAUGGACUAGAUCUCUUUGGAUAUAAGAUUGUUGAUGACUGGAGGUCAUAGAUUUCUAAUGAUCAAGUUGCUGGUAAAUCCACCAUCUUCCGUACAAUUUUUGUUGGGCUGCUACUACAGCCUUAACUCGAGAGCUCAGUCCUAAGAAUGAGUUGAGAACUAAACUAAUUGAUUCCAUGCUACAAUGCGUAAGAAUCUUUAUCUAUUUUACUUUUGUGCUCAAUGACCUUUUAAGAUGCUAUCAAUUUUCUUGUAGCUACUUGCUGGGAUAUGAUUACAACUUCACCUUUCUAAACAUAAAGGUAUAAGCAAUUCAGUUUUGCUUGAUUAUUAUAUUUUUAAUAAUAAUGAAAAUAGUGAUUAUAAACAAGUGGGGCUUUAAUGGAGAAUUGAUUUAGCAACUAGACUACCCUAUAAAUGCAGGGUGCAGGAUAUGCAGCCCCAUAAUACAAGUGUAGUGGUUCAGAAAUCUACCAUUUUUCUUUAUCGGUUUCUUGGUUGACAGAAAUCUAGCAAUUUUAGUUGUGAGAUUGUUGAAUCAUGUGAUAGUAAAUUAGUUACAAUGGCUGUAUAUUAAGGAAAAAUACUUAGGAAAUCAUCUCUGUAUGAUAUAUCUUUAUGAUAUAAUAAUAAUACAAUCAAGUAUGAUCAUUUUGUCAAUAUGGUAUAUAACAAAUAUAUUUUAGACCACCUAUUGAGCUAUUUAUAUGGUGCAUUUUGUGAUACGUUUGUUUGUAUGGUGUUAUGAAGGCGAAAUACAUUGUUUCGUACUGUUUGAGAAAAGUUAGGCAAGAAAAGUUGAUUUGGUUGUUUCUUUUCUCCUUUCAGCUGUACAUUAAGCGAGAUUUUGUGUUUAGCACAUUGUAAACCUUGUAAUAUACUCGAUAAAAUUUUCUUUGAGCUUUUGUUUAUACAUGGUAUUUGUCUUUUUGCUUGCUGCGUAAUUGUUGAAGUUUUUUUUAUUCUGCAUCCAUGGCAAAUGGAAGUGUUAGUUUUGUCAGAGAAGAUAAGCCUUGGGAAUUCUAGAAUGUAGAGAUGUUGAGUAGAAUAGAUAGCAUGAUGGGAAACUAUGAAGAGGGCAAAGUGGGUUAUGCAAGAACAUUAGUAAAAAUGGACUUAUUUAAGGGGUGUUCCAUGAAGCUCUUAUUCUAGAGGUUGAGAGUAGCAAUCAAUUCUCUCAACAUGUAAUUUAUGAAUGUAGAAACUUUGAAUAUCAUGAAUCUCUGUGUAAGAAAAGGCACAAGAAAUAAAUUUGGCAACUUAAAAAUAAAAAAAUGGAUGGGAAUAAGGGUGAUAAUGUUAAGAGGUGGUAAUCGUUGUAGGGAAUAUAAAUGAAGGAAAAUGGAAGGGGAGAAUGGUAGGGAAUAUUUUAAAUUAUUUUAUAUAUAUUCCUAUUUUAAAUUUAUUAUUCUUAAUUAUUUUAUAUAUAUUACUAUUUUAAAUUAAAUAAUAUAUUUAUUAUAGAAUAUUUAUAAUUAUUAUUGUAAAAUAAAUUUAAAGACGCGAACUACAUAUUUUAUAAUUAAAUUAUUUAUUUUUAAUUUUAAUUUUAAAAAUUUAUCAAAAUUACAUCUAAAUAUAAAUAUUGAGUUAAUUUAUUCAGAAUUUAAGCGUAUAAAUUAAAAUACAAAUAAUAUAAAUAUUAAGUUUUUUCAAUUAAUUAAUUAAUUAAAAAAAUAAUUAUAAUAAUACAUAUAGCAUACUAAUUAAAUAAUCAAAAUAAAAUUACACUAAAAUAUAAAAAUUGGACUAAUUAAAUUGAAAUUAAAAAAUUUAUAUUUUACGCACAAUUUUUUAAGAAAUUAAACAUUAGUUUAUUUUAUAUAUGUCUAUAAAUGAUAAUGGUAGAAUUCAAGAUAUAUAAUGAUUCAAAAAAAAAAAGAAUUCAAGAUAUAUAAAAUGAUAAAUAAUUAAGCACCAAUUUAAUAAUUAUAUGGUUAUUUUAUUUUAUNNNNNNNNNNNNNNNNNNNNNNNNNNNNNNNNNNNNNNNNNNNNNNNNNNNNNNNNNNNNNNNNNNNNNNNNNNNNNNNNNNNNNNNNNNNNNNNNNNNNNNNNNNNNNNNNNNNNNNNNNNNNNNNNNNNNNNNNNNNNNNNNNNNNNNNNNNNNNNNNNNNNNNNNNNNNNNNNNNNNNNNNNNNNNNNNNNNNNNNNNNNNNNNNNNNNNNNNNNNNNNNNNNNNNNNNNNNNNNNNNNNNNNNNNNNNNNNNNNNNNNNNNNNNNNNNNNNNNNNNNNNNNNNNNNNNNNNNNNNNNNNNNNNNNNNNNNNNNNNNNNNNNNNNNNNNNNNNNNNNNNNNNNNNNNNNNNNNNNNNNNNNNNNNNNNNNNNNNNNNNNNNNNNNNNNNNNNNNNNNNNNNNNNNNNNNNNNNNNNNNNNNNNNNNNNNNNNNNNNNNNNNNNNNNNNNNNNNNNNNNNNNNNNNNNNNNNNNNNNNNNNNNNNNNNNNNNNNNNNNNNNNNNNNNNNNNNNNNNNNNNNNNNNNNNNNNNNNNNNNNNNNNNNNNNNNNNNNNNNNNNNNNNNNNNNNNNNNAAUUUAAAAUUAUAAUAAUAUAAAAGAAAUUUUAUUUACUUAUUCAAAAUGAAUUUAAUACAAUAUUGUAUACAAAAAUUAAUAAUAUAUAUAUAUAAUUAGCAUACACAAUAUCUAGAAAUAUCAAGUAGGUUAAAAAAAUUAUGAAAAUAAAUUUAAUCAAGUCUGUAUAUUUUUAUUAAGAGUCAAAUAAAUUUAAUUUAAAAUUUUAGAUUAAUUAAACUAUGUAAUUUUAUUAAGGGCUAAAUAGAUUUUAGCUUAAUAUUAUUUUUUAAAAAUAAAAUAUUAUUUUUAUAAUUUAAAACAUUAAAAAUUUAGUAUUUCAAUUAUCAUAAAAAAUUUAAACAUAUAUAAAUAUAAUAAAUAAUUUUUAAAAAUAUAAAAAUAAAGUUUUAUUAUGUAAAAAAUAUUUUUAUUAUUAAAAAUAAUAUUAUAUUAUUAAAAAAUAAUAUUACGACUUAUUUAAUUCUUAAGUAAUAAUAAUAAUAUAUAGAUUUAAUUGAUUUAAAAUUUUGAAUUAAAAUUAUUUAACUUUUAAAUAAAAGUAAAGACUUAAUUGGAUUUAUAUUUAAAAAAUUAUUAUUAUAAAAUGAUAACUUUAAUUUGUUAUUAAAUAAUAUCUUUAAAUUAAUAAAAAAUUACAAAAUGUGGCGCAUAUAAACAAUUCCCAAUUUCCUUUUGUUAUCCUUACCACUUUACCAGCUGGCACAGAGCCUUCCUUUUCCGAUUCUCUUUCCUUUCCUCAUUCCCAAUCUCCGAUCCAUCCCUAAAAACAACUGACGAGAGAUCGAUGAUGAUGAAGAUGCCUUGGAGGAGGAAGAGCAGGAGCUUCCAUCUUCAGCUACAAGGGGCAAUUGGUACCAUUCAAUCUCCAUUCCUAUUCUUAUUUACCAAUUAUUGCCAUUCUUCUACUUCCACACUUAAAAAUGCACGCUUCUUCACAAAUAACUUCAAAUCUGCUUCUUUUACCCGCCUUGAUGAUGCCAUUGCUUCCUUUAAUCAUGUAAUUCAUAUGCAUCCUCUGCCUUCUAGGGUUCAUUUUAAUAUAUUCUUAUCUGCCCUUGUGAAAAUGAAACAAUAUCACACUGUCCUUUCCAUUUCCAAAACAAUUGAAUUGCUAGGAAUCUCUCACAAUAUUUAUUCUCUUAACAUCUUAAUUAAUUGCUUCUGCCGUUUACAUCUUGUGGAUUUUGGCUUCUCUGUUUUCGGAAAGAUGUUCAAAUUCAGAUUGGAGCCUACCACUGUGACAUUUACUACCUUAAUUAAUGGGCUUUGUAUAGAGAGUAAAAUGGACAAAGCAGUGGAAUUUUUCGAUGAUAUGGUUGCACGUGGUUAUCAACCUAAUGUUUAUACUUUCAAUGUCAUAGUAAAGGGAUUGUGUAAAUUUGGUAAAACAAAUCUGGCUAUUGAGCUACUAAAGGAAAUGGCUGAUAGAGGUUGUGAGCCAGAUGUUGUGACAUACAAUGCAAUCAUUGACACCCUUUGCAAAGAUGAGCUAGUUGGUGAGGCUUUAGAGCUCUUCUCUCAAAUGAGGAAUAAGGGCAUUUCACCUGAUGUCAUCACUUACACUGGUUUAAUUCAUGGUGUUUGCAAAUUAGGCCAAAAGAACCAAGCUUUGGCCUUGAUGAAUGAAAUGGUGGAGCAGAACAUAUUACCAAAUGUUUAUACCUUCAGUGUAUUGAUUGAUGCUCUUUGUAAGGAUGGAAUGGUUUCAGAGGCUCAAAAUACAUUCAAUAUAAUGAUUCAAAGAGGUGUAGAGCCUAAUGUGGUCACCUACACUUCCUUAAUUGAUGGUCUUUGCAUUUCAGACCAUUUCAAGGAAGCUUUGGACUUGUUGAAAGAAAUGGUGGGGAGGAACAUAUCCCCUAAUGUUUUUACCUUCAAUAUAUUGAUCGACACUCUUUGUAAGAAAGGACUGGUUUCAAAUGCACAGAAUAUAAUCAAAAUAAUGAUUCAAAGAUGUGUGGAACCUAAUGUUGUCAUUUAUAAUUCAUUGAUGGAUGGAUAUUGUCUGUGCAAGCAAAUUGAUAAGGCUAGAAAGGUAUUUGAUCUGAUGGUGACCAAUGAAAUAGCUAACAUUUUUAGCUACAACAUUUUGAUCAAUGGAUAUUGUAAUCGCAAAAUGAUAGAUGAUGCAAAGGGGAUUUUUGAUGAAAUGUCUCAUAAAGGUUUAGUUCCUAAUGCUGUUACUUAUCAUACUCUUAUAAAGGGUAUGUUUGAAGCAGGGAGGCCCCAAAAUGCAAAAGAGCUCUUUAAGGAUAUGUGCUCUCAUGGUCAACAACCAAAUAUAGUAACCUUCUCAAUUAUGAUUGAUGGCUUGUGUAGACAGGGGAAUCUCGAUGAGGCACUCACACUAUUGAAAGCAAUGGAGAAAAGUCAGUUGAAGCCUAAUGUUGUGAUCUAUAGCAGUUUGAUCAAUGGUAUGUGCAAAGUUGGGAAGAUUAAUGAUGCCAAGGAACUUUUUUCUAGUCUUUUUGAAAUUGGUUUACAACCUGAUGUUUAUGUAUAUUAUGCAAUUAUGAAAGGACUUUGCCAAGAAGGAUUAAUGGAUGAAGCGUACAAGGUAUUUAAAGACAUGGAAAAGGUAGGAUGUUUACCAAAUAAUUUUUGUUAUAAUAUCAUCAUUAAAGGGUUUCUCAGGCAUGAGGAUUUACCAAAAGCAUCAGAACUAAUCAACGAAAUAGUUGAUAAGGGGUUCUGUGCUGAUGAUGCUACCACAGAAUUGGUAGUACAUUUAUCGCGGAAUAAUUAUCUCAUUCUGAGGCUUUUAAAGGUGCGCAAUGAGGGAUCAGCAAACUAAAGUUGUUAUAUCUUGACCAUUCAAUUGUAUCUUGGAGCGCAACUUGGAAAUUACCUUUUUCAAAUAUAAUAGAUAUGUAAUUUAACUAACUUCUUCAAAUAUCAUUUUUAAUUUCAAUCAGUUGUGAUUCUCUUCCACAAAACGAAAAUUUCUAACACUGCAAAUUACCUGUGGUGGAAACCAUGAUAUGUGUGUGCCUUUCGCUUGAAUUCAGACAUGGACUUGGAUGUCUUUGAUAUAAGAUUGUUGAUGAAUGGAGGUCAUGGAUUUCUAAUGAUCAAGUUGCUGGUAAACCCACCAUCUCCUUUACAGAUUUUUUUUGGCUGCUACUACAGCCUUAACUCGAGAGCUCAGUCCUAAAAUUGAGGUUAGAACUAAAACUAAUUGGUUCCAUACUACAAUGCUUAAGAAUCUUUAUCUAUUUUUAUUUUUGUGCUCAAUGACCUUUUAAAAUGCUAUCAUUUCUCUUGUAGGUACUUGCAAGGAUAUGAUUACAACUUCACCUUUCUAACCAUAAAGGUAUAAGCAAUUCUUUUUUGCUUAAUUAUUAUAUUUUUAAUAAUAAUGAAAAUAAUGAUUAUAAACCAGUGUGCUUUAAUUGAGAAUUGAUUUAACAAUUAGACUACACUAUAAAUGCAGGGUGCCGGAUAUACAGUCCCAGAGUACAAGGUAAGAGAAUCACUAGAGUUCUACCGCUGUUGGUUGGAUGAAAUGUAACUAAAAUUAUACACAACAGAAAAUGUUAUGGGAAUUGAGGGAAAGGCAAACAUCCUCUUUGUCAAUAUAGUAUAUAACGGAUAUAUUUUAGUGUUGGAACACCAUUUGAGUUAUUUACAUGGUGCAUUUUGCGAUACAUUUGUGUGGUGUUAUGAAUGUGAAACGCAUUGUUUCUUACUGUUUGAGAUGUUAGUUAAGUUAGGCAAGAAAAGUUGUUUUGGCUGUUGCUUUUCUCCUUUCAGCAGUAUAUUGUUUAGUUUGUGAAAGUGUUAUAUUUGGUUGCAGAGAAAUAAAGUGGUUUACUGGAGAUUUUGGAACCAAAGGGACAUUUAUACUUUUUGGAGGGCAAAUUCAAAGCGGCAAUAUAAUGAUUUAUUUGGCUUUAAAGAGAGAUAAAUCAAUGUCAAUCAGACUAUGAGUCCUACUAGAGGUUCUUAUACCCCACUUCUGAUUAGAUUGAUAGGAGAAUGAGAGAUAGCUGAGUUUCAAGAGGUGAUUUGUUCAGAAAUCACAGAGGCAACCAGUUACAAGAUUUUGGAGUCGCUUUUAUCAAAAUAUCAGUUUUAGAGCUACUCAUACAAAACUAAAUAUAAAAGGAAGUUUAUUGUUAGCAAACUGAUAUAUUUUUCUAUGCUACAAAAUCUCAGUAUCAUGCAAUAUAUCGUUUUAAUGGUUCAAGCGAGAUAGUGGGCAACAUGCUAAAAGGAAAAAUUAUAAUUCUGAUACUUUUGUCAACAAAUUUUACUAACAAAUUUUAUCAAUGUACAUUAGUAAUUUUAACAGAUUUAUUAACGAAUUUGGAAAUCUUUUGAUAAUUAAAUAUAAAAAGUUGUGUAAACAUUCACUAGAUCCGUUAGUAAAUCACUAACAAUUUUAAUAUGUUAGUAAAUUUUGAGGUGUAAAUGAAAUAAAUUGUUUGUGAGCUAUUCGAGAUUCCAUGAGAUAAAAAUUCGUCCAAAUUUGACUCGAUUUCUAAACGAAUCAAAUUCAAACUUAAUUUUUAGGCUUGUUUAGUAAAUGAGACAAACUGAAACUCCAUAGUAUUCGUCUCGUCAAGGUUCGCGAGUUCGGCUGGUGUUCAAGUUCAUGAGCAGGCUGGCGAAUGGACUCCUGAAUAGUCUCGUUAAGAAGGCUGAGAUUAAUAUCAUAAGAGAAAUAAAUUUAAAUUCUACAUAUAUUUUCAUGAGUCAAAUCUAAAUUUUAUAAAGUUCAAUUCUAUAUUGUUUAAUUAUACUAUUAUAACUUGUAUAUAUUUGGAUUGUUAAGAGCUCAUCUUUAUAAGUUUAGGAGCUAAUUUGUAUAUAUACUUAUUUAGUUAAAAUUAUUUAGUUUUAAACUAAUUAAUUUUAAAUGAAAAUUCAUUAUACAUGUAAAUAAAUUGAAUUAUUGGUGAAUUAUUCGAGAUUAAACUCGAUAAAAACUUAACUCGUCUAAGUUUAUUUGCUAAAGGAGUCAAGUUUGAACUUAUUAAUACUCGGUUCAAAUUCGAAAUGAGUAAAACUCGAAUUCGACUCGAACUUAAAAAAAUUUUAACGAAUUAAAUUUAAACUUUUCAAAAUUCAGCUCUACUCGAUUCAUUUACACCCUAAGUAAAUUUUAAAAAGUCUUUAAAUUACUAAUAAAUUCUAAAUCCAUAGAUAAUUUGUCCAAAAAAUUAUUAACGGAUUUGAAAAUUCAUUAUUAAACUUUAUCAUCAAAUUAAUAAAUAAAGAAAAAAUAUUGAAUUUAUCAACGGAUGCUAUCUGCGGAUAAAUUCAUUAAUAAAUUUAAAAUAAAAUUUUACAAACAAUUUUUGCAUUUUUUUUUGCAAUUCACAUUUUCCGGUUACCAAUAAAUUUACUAACAUAUUUCAAAUCCAUGGGUGAUUUUCAAAGAGAAAAAGAUUGCUUUUCUUAAAAAAAAAAAAUUAGUAACGAAUUGCAAAUUCAUUAGUAAUUCACGUUUAUAAAUAUAACACUGCUUUUAUCAUUCAUUCAUCUUAUAAUCUACAUUUCUUCCAUUUUUUUCUUUCUCUCAUUUUCUUUCUUUUUUCUCUUACUUUCUUUCAUUUCAUUUUUUCAUCUCAUAAGUUUUUUUUCUUAUUUUUUAUAUUCUUUUUCUUUUAUCUCUUAUCCUAUUUUCUCGCAUCUUCUUUUCUCUUCUAUUAUUUUUUUCAUUCUUCAUAAUUUUCCUUUCAUUUUCUCCCAACUCUUUUCCAUCUUUUUCUUUCCUUUCCUUUUAUCUUCUUUGUUUUCUAUAUACUUUUCAUUCAUGUUAGUUUUUUAAUUUUAUUUUCUUUUAUCAUUUCUUUCUAUCUACAUUUUUUCUAUUAUUUUCUCUUUAUUUAUUUUCUUCUCUAAUUAUUUGUUCAUUUUUUUCAUUUUUCUAAUCAUCUUUUUACUCGACUCUCACUCUUUCUUCUUUUUCAUAAUUUUUAUUUUUCUAUUAUUUUCUUUAUUUUUCUUUUUUUUCUUUCUUUUUAUUAUUUUCUCUCAUUUUAUACCAUUUAUUUUUUUUAUUUUUACUUUUUAAGAUAUAAAUUAAAAAUUUAGUAACAACAAUAAUAUAAUUUUAAGUCUUAUUAAAUUAAUAAAAAAUUAUUUAAACUCUCAAUAGAUUUAUUAAUGGAUUGCAAUUCGUUGAUAAUUUACUAACAGAUUUUACAUCUGUUAAUAAAUUAUUUUUCUUUUAUACUAACAGAUUUAAAGUUUGUUAAUAAUUUAAAAUCAGUUAGCAAUUUAAAAUCUGUUGGUAAUAAUAAUGAAAAUUCCGUUAAUAAAUCCACUAGUAUUAUUAAUGAAAUUAAAAGUCGUUGGUAAAAAUUUACCAUCGAACUUUUUAACAACAGAUCGUAAUCUGUUAGUAAUCCAUUAUUAAUUCAUUUACCAAUAAAUUUUUAUUGGAUUGCCAAUGGAAAAAUCACUGUAUUAUCAAUACAAAUUAAGAAAUUGUUGAUUCAUAUCUUUACAAUAAGAUGUCUUUUAAACUCUUAAGACUUUUGAAGCUAAAAUUGAAGAAACAUUCAUGAUAUUGUAUUUCUCCUUUGGUUGAAACUGUUAUUCAUGCAAGAUGAUUUUCUCUGUUAUAACACUUUGAAAUAAUGUCUAUUAUUGGAAUGCAUAUAACUAUUUGACCGAUAUAAAAUAGGUAUAAUGAGUAUAUAGUUAUCUAUCAGUUUGUGUCAUUUAAUUUUACUGUCUGUUUAUAAAUAUAUUUACAUUCAUUUAAUUUUAAUAUCACAUUGGUAAAUUAUAAGAGAUGAAGAGUUAUCAUUUCCUAUAAAAAGAGAAGGUCUCUCCUCCGUACAAUAUUAGUACCUGGUUUUUAUUAUAUUAUGAUAUUCUUAUAUAGGGCCAUCAGAAAAUUUAGAUAUUUUUAUUUAAUUUUAUUUUAAAACUAUUUCUAAGCUCUAACUAAUAAUUCAGCUUGAAUGCAAGCUCACCACGAGCCACGCUCGAAUCAAGUUCAAGUUAAAGUUCGUUAAAUAUUUCAUGAAUCGAAUUCGAACUUGUAAAAAUUUUUUUAAAAGCAAGCUUGAACUUUAGAAAUGUUGGCUCGACUCAAUUAUCUCUAACCAUUUGAAUUACAAAUAAAUUCAUUAAUAGAUUAAUUGUAUGUAUCAUUAAUAGAUUUAUAAACGGAUAAAUCAUUUGAAUUACAAACAAAUUUAUAAAUAGAUUAACCAUUUGUAUCAUAAAUGGAUUUAUAAGGUUUAUAUUAUAAAUGGAUUUACAAAAAGAUUAUCCGUUUAUAUGUGAAAUUUCAUUUCUAAAUAAUAGGGAAUAUGUGAAUGAAAAAUAUAAACGAAUAUCAAAUUUGUUUAUAUCAUAAAUGGUUAUUCUGUUUAUAAAUCCAUUUGUAUCAUAAACAAAUUAUUUUUCGUUUGAAAAAAAAAAUACAAACAAUAUUUAAACAAAUGGACAAAAGUCUAUUUAUGAUCCAUUUGUAAAUUUAAUUUUUUUUUAAAGUGCUAGAGAUUUAGUAAGUUGGAGAGAGCAGAGCUAACAGCAGCCUCUCUCUUAUAACCAUUCGAAGACUAGAGUCAUAUCUGUGGCAUUAAUAGCAUCUUGAUAUGUCACCUCCCUAGAAAAUUUGAACCCAUCCUACAAAAAAGAAUAUAUGCAAGCAAACCACAGCUCCCUCAGUCGUCGGAAGAGUGAUAUCACAUCUUGAAAAUACUCUCACCAUGAAGCUCCAAAUCUAGAAAUGUAAAAGCAAAAAUAGAAAAACACAGUAUUUUCACCCCAGCCCUAGAGACAAGGAGAGUAAACCCACAUCCAAGGCUCGAGGAAGCCAUCCCGUACUUAAAAGGUAUAGGGAAAGGCUGCCCUCAGAAGUAAACAGGUAGAGAUAAAGCUUUAUUAUAAUCUAAUAAUUUGAUUGGUUAUUUAAAAUAUCUAAUUUGAUUGGUUAAUUAUAUUAGUUUUCUAUUAAAAUUUAAACCAAAAUUUUAUUAUAAUCUAAUAUAAAAAAUUAACUAAAAUUUAAACUUCCAACUUAAAAGAUCAUCAAAAGUAUGAAUAUUUUUAAUGCUGAAUAUUUGAGUUUGUGGCUAAAAUUUUUGGAAUUCCCAAUUUCCUUUUGUUAUCCUUACCACAUUACCAGCUGGCAGAGAGCCUUCCUUUUCCGAUUCUCUGUUUCCUUUCCCCAUUCCCAAUCUCCGAUCCAUCCCCAAAAACAACUGACGAGAGAUCGAUGAUGAUGAAGAUGCCUUGGAGGAGGAAGAGUAGGAGCUUCCAUCUUCAGCUACAAGGGGCAAUUGGUACCAUUCAAUCUCCAUUCCUAUUCUUAUUUACCAAUUAUUGUCAUUCUUCUACUUCCACACUUGAAGAUGCACGCUUCUUGACAAAUAACUUCAAAUCUGCUUCUUUUACCCGCCUUGAUGAUGCCAUUGCUUCCUUUAAUCAUGUAAUUCAUAUGCAUCCUCUUCCUUCUAGGGCUCAAUUUAGUAGAUUCUUCUCUGCCCUUGUGAAAAUGAAACAAUAUCACACUGUAUUUUCCAUGUCCAAAACAAUUGAAUUGGUAGGAAUCUCCCACGAUGUUUAUUCUCUUAGCAUCUUAAUUAAUUGCUUCUGCCACUUACACCUUGUGGAUUUUGGCUUCUCUGUUUUCGGAAAGAUGUUCAAAUUCGGAUUGGAGCCUACCACUGUGACAUUUACUACCUUAAUCAAUGGGCUUUGUAUAGAGAGUUAAAUGGACAAAGCAGUGGAAUUUUUCGAUGAUAUGGUUGCACGUGGUUAUCAACCUGAUGUUCGUACUUUCACUGUGAUAGNNNNNNNNNNNNNNNNNNNNNNNNNNNNNNNNNNNNNNNNNNNNNNNNNNNNNNNNNNNNNNNNNNNNNNNNNNNNNNNNNNNNNNNNNNNNNNNNNNNNNNNNNNNNNNNNNNNNNNNNNNNNNNNNNNNNNNNNNNNNNNNNNNNNNNNNNNNNNNNNNNNNNNNNNNNNNNNNNNNNNNNNNNNNNNNNNNNNNNNNNNNNNNNNNNNNNNNNNNNNNNNNNNNNNNNNNNNNNNNNNNNNNNNNNNNNNNNNNNNNNNNNNNNNNNNNNNNNNNNNNNNNNNNNNNNNNNNNNNNNNNNNNNNNNNNNNNNNNNNNNNNNNNNNNNNNNNNNNNNNNNNNNNNNNNNNNNNNNNNNNNNNNNNNNNNNNNNNNNNNNNNNNNNNNNNNNNNNNNNNNNNNNNNNNNNNNNNNNNNNNNNNNNNNNNNNNNNNNNNNNNNNNNNNNNNNNNNNNNNNNNNNNNNNNNNNNNNNNNNNNNNNNNNNNNNNNNNNNNNNNNNNNNNNNNNNNNNNNNNNNNNNNNNNNNNNNNNNNNNNNNNNNNNNNNNNNNNNNNNNNNNNNNNNNNNNNNNNNNNNNNNNNNNNNNNNNNNNNNNNNNNNNNNNNNNNNNNNNNNNNNNNNNNNNNNNNNNNNNNNNNNNNNNNNNNNNNNNNNNNNNNNNNNNNNNNNNNNNNNNNNNNNNNNNNNNNNNNNNNNNNNNNNNNNNNNNNNNNNNNNNNNNNNNNNNNNNNNNNNNNNNNNNNNNNNNNNNNNNNNNNNNNNNNNNNNNNNNNNNNNNNNNNNNNNNNNNNNNNNNNNNNNNNNNNNNNNNNNNNNNNNNNNNNNNNNNNNNNNNNNNNNNNNNNNNNNNNNNNNNNNNNNNNNNNNNNNNNNNNNNNNNNNNNNNNNNNNNNNNNNNNNNNNNNNNNNNNNNNNNNNNNNNNNNNNNNNNNNNNNNNNNNNNNNNNNNCACUCACCCUAUUGAAAGAAAUGGAGGAAAGUCAGUUGAAGCCUGAUCUUGUGACCUAUUGCAUUCUGAUCAAUGGUAUGUGCAAAGCUGGCAAGAUUAAUGAUGCCAAGGAACUGUUUUCUAGUCUUUUUGAAAAUGGUUUACAACCUAAUGUUCAUAUAUAUAGUGCAAUUAUGAAAGGACUCUGCUGAUGAUGGACUAAUAGACGAAGCAUAUAAGAUUUUUAGAGACAUGGAAAAGGGAGGAUGUUUACCGAAUAAUUAUUCUUAUAAUAUCAUCAUUCAAGGGUUUCUCAGGCAUGAGGAUUUAUCAAAAGCAUCACAACUAAUCAAUGAAAUGGUUGAUAAGGGGUUCUCUGCUGAUGAUGCUACCACAGAAUUGGUAGUACAUUUAUCGCAGAAUAAUAAUUUCAUUCUAAGGCUUUUAAAGGUGCGCAAUGAGGGAUCAACAAACUAAAGUUGUUAUAUCUUGACCAUUCAAGUGUAUCUUAGAGCGGAACUUGGUAAUUACCUUUUCCAAAUAUAAUAGAUAUGUAAUUUAACUAACUUGAAUCAACUGUGAUUCUCUUCCACAAAAUGAAAAUUUCUAAUACUGCAAAUUACCUGUGGUGGAAGCCAUGGUAUGUGUGUGCCCUUCGCUUGAAUUCAGACAUGGACUAGAUCUCUUUGAUAUAAGAUUGUUGAUGAAUGGAGGUCAUGGAUUUCUAAUCAUUAAGUUGCUGGUAAACCCACCAUCUCCGUUAUAAUUUUUUUUUGCUGCUACUACAGUCUUUACUUGAGAGCUCAGUCCUAAAAUUGAGUUGAGAACUAAAACUAAUUGGUUCUAUACUACAAUGCCUAAGAAUCUUUAUCUAUUUUUAUUUUUGUGCCAAAUGACCUUUCAAAAUGCUAUCAUUUCUCUUGUAGGUACUUGCAAGGAUAUGACUACAACUUCACCUUUCUAACCAUAAAGGUAUAAGUAACUCAUUUUUGCUUAGUUAUUAUAAUUUUUAAUAAUAAUGAAACUAAUGAUUAUAAACCAGUGUGCUUUAAUUGAGAAUUGUUUUAACAAUUAUACUACACUAUAAAUGCAGGGCGCAGGAUAUACAGUCCCAGAAUACAAGGUAAGAGAAUUAGUAGACUUCUACCGCUUUUGGUUGGAUGAAAUGUCACUAAAAUUAUAGACAACGGAAAAUGUCAUGGGAAUUGAGGGGAAAAACAAACAUCCUCUUUGUCAAUAUGGUAUAUAACAGAUAUAUUUUAGUGUUGGACCACCAUUUGAGUUCAUAAAUUGGCUCGUGAAUAGACUCGUGAACAUUCUGGUUAAACAAACUGAAAUUAAUAUCAUAAAGAAAUAAAUUCAACCCCUACAUAUACUUUUGUGAGCCUAAUCCAAAUUUAUUAAAGUUUAGCUCUAUAUAUUUUAAUUACUCUUAAAACUUAUAUAUAUUUGGAUAGUUAAGAACUCAUCUUUUAAAUUUGUGAGUUAAUUUGUAUAUAUAUUUUUUUGGUUAAAAUUAUUUAUUUUUAAAUUUAUUAGUUUUAAAUUAAAACUCAUUAUAUAUGUAAAUAAAUCGAAUAUAGACUAAAUUCGAUAAAAACUCGACUAGUCUAAAUUUAUUUGCUAAACUAACUUAGUUUGAGUUUAUUAAUACUCGAGUUCGAAAUGAGUAAAACUUGAAUUCAUCUUGAGUUCGAAAAAAUUUUAAUGAACUAAACUUGAACUCUUCAAAAUUCGGUUAUAUUCGGCUCAUCUACACUCCAAAGUAAAUUUUAAAAAGUGAUUAAAUUACUAAUGAAUUCUAAAUUCAUUGGUAAUUGGCCCAAAAAAUUACUAACUAAUUUGAAAAUUCAUUACUAAACUUUAUCAUCAAAUUAAUAAGUAAAAAAAGUGUUAAAUUUAUCAAUUGAAGCUUUACGCUGGAAAAUCCGUUGGAUAAAAUUAAAAUAAAAUUUCAUAAAAUUUCCACGUUUUUUUACUACUCAUAUUUUUUCCGUUAUUAAUGGAUUUAAUAACAUAUUUUAAAUUCAUUAAUUUUUAAAAAGAGAAAAGACUUUUUUUUUUCUAAAUUUAAUAAUAAAUUAUAAAUUCAUUAGUAAUUCGCGGUUAUAAAUAUUAGACCGGUUCUUCUGGUUUUAUCAUUUAUUUAUCUUAUUAUUUUCUUCUCUUCCAUUUUCCUUCCUCCUCUCAUUAUCAUUUUCCUCCCUUCCUUUCUCUCAUUUUCUUUUUUUUCUAUUACUUUAUUCAGUAUUUCACUCUUUUAUUGCAUAAUUUUUUUUUAUUUUUUCUAUUAUUUUCCUUUCAUCUCUUAUCCUAUUUUCUCUCAUUCUCUUUCCUCUUUUAUUAUUUACUUCCUUCUUCAUAAUUUCCUUUCAUUUUCUCCAUUUUUUCUAUUUGGUUCUUUUAUUUUCUCCCAUUUUCUUUAUUUUCUCUAUAAUUUUCAUUCAUAUUAAUUUUUCUAAUAUUAUUUUUUUCUAUCAUUUUUUUCUAUUUAUAUAUUUUUUAUUAUUUUCUCUUUAUUUAUUUUUUUCUCUAAUUAUUUGUUCACUUUUUUUCAUUUAUCUAAUAAUAUUUUUACUCUACUCUCAUUCUUCAUUCUUUUUUUAUAAUUUUUAUUUUCUACCAUUUUCUUUAUUUUUCUCUUUUUUUCUCCUUUUUUUAUUAUUUUCUCCCAUUUUAUACCAUUUACUUCUCUUAUUUUCACUUUCUAUGUAUUUCUAAUAAAUAUUGGAUACAAAUUUAAAAUUUAGUAAUAAUAAUAAUAUAAUUUUUAAUCUUAUUAAAUUAAUAAACAAUUAUUUAAACUCUCAGUAGAUUUAUUAAAAAAUUGUAAUUUGUUAGUAAUUUAUUAAUGAAUUUCAUGUCUAUUAGUAAAUUAUUUUUCUUUUAAUGUAUUAAUACAUUUAAAAUCUGUUAAUAAUAAUAAUGAAAAUUUUAUUAGUAAAUUCAUUAUUAUUAUUAAUAUACUUGAAAACUGGUGUUAAAAAUUUACUAUCGAGAUUUUUAAUAAUAGAUCUAAUCCAUUAGUAAUAUGUUGGUAAUUCAUUUAUCAGUGAAUUUUUUAUUGAUUACCAUUGAAAAAUUCAUUAAUAAUCUAUAAAUUUUUUUAGUAUUUUUAAAAAUAAAAAUAAAAAUACUAUUUUUAAAUUUAGAUUUUAAGAACUUUUAGUUGAAUAAAUGAAAAUUUAAAACUUUUUGCGACUAUAAUAUUAUCCAUAUUAAUGAACUAGCUAAAUUUUUUUUAGUUUAAUUUAUUCACUAAAAAUAUAGAUAAUAUGUUUAUCACAAUAUAUCAAAAAAUUAAAAAUACAUAUAUGAUUAUUAUUUUAAUAUACGCCGCAGAACCUCCUCUCCGCCUCUUGCAACGCUUCGGACUACCAGGGGAACCUCAGUGACACCGUCGACCAUUUCAGAGCUGCUAUGGAGCCAAUCGAUUCAACAAGCGAGAAAUUCAUGGCCAAGGCGCCCAUUCUUGACUCGAAGACACAAAAUCACAGCUGCUCCUCACCUAAGAUUUGCAUUGGUUGCAACCUCCAGGUAUAAAUUUUGGUUUAUUGGGGUUUGAUCCGAUGAAAUUUCUAUUUCUCUAGGUUGUUUAGAUGUAUAUAAUCUUGUAUUAAGUACUUCCAUUGAUUGAUUCAGUUGAGAUGCUUGUGUUUGGAUGUUACAUAGUUUGAAGCAAUUCGUAUGACCUCCUCAAUUUUACCUGUGAGAGCUGCUAGGAGUUUUAUUUCCUUGAAAAUUGAUUAGUUCCUCAAGACCUCUAAAGAUUGUAUAUAAAUGGAAAGUUGGCAACACUCUCAAGAAGCUCCAGGAUUGCAAGCUUUAUUAUCCUUCUUUCUAGGUUCAUCCCUUCAGAAUCUCACAGAAAUUACUUAGCAUUUUGUCUUUUCAAAUUAGUUGUUUAUUUUUACUUUACUAAAAAUUAUUUUUUCUGCAAUUUGCAUGAUCUAAUUCUAUGAUCUAAUUCUAUGGAGCAGGUGUUACUUUCUCAUUUAUUAGAAUUUACUUUUAUACCAUUACUAUCCCUCAGUAACGGAGCUUAAACUCAUUUUCAAACACUCAUUUUUUUAAUUAUUUUUGAAAUUUGAAAUUUGAUGUUUAUUUUCUUUAUAUGCCCAAUUAUAAAUAUAAAUAAUUGUAUAUUUUGUUGUCCUAUAUUAUGUAAGAUUUCUGAAACAUAUUAAGAUUAAGGUUUUGCCAAAUUUUGAUCAGUUUUUUUUAAUUAGUUAAAAUUUAUUGUGAAAUAUUAUUUUUUUCAGUGAAAUUUUUAAUGGUUUUUUAAUUUAAUAGAAAUUUUAACUUUAAUUUCAAUUUUAAAAAAUUAAAAGAAAGCUAGAUACAAAACAUGGUAUGUAGUGUUUAUGCAGUUCAACCACUCAUCCAUCAUUCUUCUCUAUCAACUUCCCAGAAACCAUAACCCAUCCCCGCUCUACACUUUCGACCCAAAAACAAGAUUCCAUUCACCAUUGUCGCAGCCACCUCCUUCAACCCAUCUCCAACACCGUCAGCUCCCAUAGCAGAAAUCAUAAAUAAGAGAUUAUAAAAAAAGAUUUGGUCAAAAUACAAUUCUAAUUCAUAAUAAAAAUUACAUGUACACAACUAAAUUAUUACAUCAGAACUGUAACAGCCCGCAAACCGGACCAUUACCGGCGCUAGAAUUCAGGUCAACCUGAGGCCGUCUGAACCCGUAGCAAGCCUACUAUGAACUCUGUGUACCUGAUAAAUCCCAUACAUGAUCACACAUUUCCAUAAAAAUUUUGAUUUUUCAUUAAAUUAGCUUGACCUGUACAUGAAUCAUAACUAUAAACAUAAAUAGCCUACUAGAGUCCUCAUCAAAUACUCCAGAGGGUCAUAAAACUGUCAAGCUUAAAGGUUAUCAUAAAGAUAAACAUCAUAAGUCAUAAAAUACUGAUCAUGUACAAAGGGAAAUCAACAUAGUCUUAGGGCUAUGCACAAUUUCUAACUGUUUUCAUUACAUCACUUUUAACAUAAACAUAACUAUUACAUUCCUUCUCAAAGUAUUGUACAUGUCCACUUUCUAUACAUAUUCCUAACUUUACCCUGGCUGAUGCUCUGACUUCCUCUGAGGCCCUAAAACACGGGGUUAGGGAGAGGGGUGAGCUACUAGAACCCAGUGAGUAGAAUCACAUAAAACAUUAAAUACAUAUUCUCAAUGAAAUGCAUCACAACUCAAACAAUUCACAUAACGGAUGGACAUGACCUCAAAACUCCCUAAGCUAUUUGCCCGACCACCAUAAAGGGCACCACAGGACUUCGUAAUGCCUGGCCCAGCCAGGUCUUUCCAUAGGGCUAUUGGGUCGCUUGGGUCCAUCCACAUCAUCAUGAUAUCAUAGAUCAACAUUAUGCAAUGCAACAGCUUCGUGGUUACUAGUGCAGUACAUCCUACUAUAAACAUGGUAUUCAUGAUGCAUGAAACAUGCUAAAACAUUUAUUUACUUAAAACAUAGUUUAGUUCUACUCACCUCUAACAAUAGCUGGACUGUCUCUGAAAAUCUAACUCUGAGGGCCUCCUUGGUUCCUUGGGUCCGUACCUACACAGGCGGACUCAAAUGAGGUACCGAACAUACUCUAACAUAGCUAUGAAUAUCUCUCCAAAAACCCCCUAAAACAUCAUAAACAUGCUUGGAAAAAUUGGCAAAGAAAAGCUGAACAGAGGCCUUUCGGCGGCAGGUUCGGCGGCCGAAACCCCCCUCCAGAGACGAAAGUCACCCACCUUCGGCGGCACUUUCGGCGGCCGAACCUUGCCUCCAGAGACGAAAGUCUACUUUCGGGGGCAGGGUUUGGCAGUCGAAACUGCUUCCAUAAGGGGUUCGGCGGCCGAAAGUCCACUUUCGGCGGCCGAACCUGAGUUUCCCCAGAAGGCAGAAACUCGGGCAACUUCCUCUCCACAGCCUCCAAAACCCUCACACAACCUAUCAACAUGCAAGCCAACUUUCCAAACAUGCAACUAACAUCAAACAUGCAUAAAGGAGCUUAAAAACUCAACUUAAACUCCAAUAAACAUAUCAAAUCAUCAUAGAACAUAAUCUUUAACCUAAUACCACAAAACCUAGAUCCAUGCAUAACUAACCUUAAAACUCCCAAAAUCUCUUAAAAACAUGCUUAAACAUAAAGGGGAGAGGAGGAUCCAUGCUUACCUCUUGAAGAACGAGAGGAUCAAUGGUCCAAACUUGGAGAUGGGUGGAAAACCAAAUCAAAACUCCAAGUUGCUCAACUUUGCUUAUUUUGCUCCAAAACUCUAAAACCAAGUUUAAAACAUGUAAAAACAUGCAAGAUUUGAAGAAAACUCAUAUGAACAUACCAAGGGGAAAGAGAGCUAACCUUUGGCUCAAAACAGGGGGUGCAACACCCCUGUUUUCGGCCAAGGAUGGCUUAAAUAGGUGGCCAGCCGCCUCACCUUCGGCAGCCGAACGUGCAUGCGAAACCAUGCAACCUUCGGCGGCCGAAAAUGAGCUUCGGCGGCCGAACCUGGGAAAAUUCCCUUGGCCUUUUUCUUUUCCAAAACUCAACUUUCUUAGCUCAAAACAUUAAAACCAUGAUAAUCAUAUGAGAAAACAUGUAAUUUACCCUUCUAGCAUAACCCGUCAUCUUGUGAAAUUCCUAAUUCCACAGAGAACCCGCCCAAAAGGUACGGAUUCCAAUGCCGGAGUCUAGCCGGGUAUUACAAGAACUAUAUUAAACAACUCUACUAAUCUCCCAACUAAUUUUGACCCUAUAAAUCUAGAAUUAUGAGAAAGAAAUAAACUUAUAAGAGCCUAAUAAGCAGAAAUAUAAUUAUAAAAUAAUUUAAUAAAAUAUAUGACCGUAUAAAUGUUUCACAAUACAGACAAUUCACAUUAAGAUUUGCUAAUUAAGAAAACAUAUUUUGAUUUUUUAGGUUAGUUUUGAAGAUAAGAUAGAGAUGAUGUUCUUGAAUUUUUCAAUUUUAAAAAUUUAAAAAUAUUUUAAUGGAUGACCAUUUAAUAAAGUUAUGUUUCAAUUAUUGAUUUGAAUUUAAUUUGCUUAAAAUGAUAAUAUAUAGGAUAAUUAUACCAAAAUUGAAAGUUAAGGGGCUCGAUUGGACCUAAAAAAUUUUAAAGAACUUAAUUUACUUUUGGUUAAUAAUUAAAGGGUUAAAAUUAGCUUUUUGCCUAAAAGAAAUUGGGCAGGUUUAUUUCCUUAGAAUAGGAGCAGGCAUUCAAAGGGGAAUUACAAUUUAUCACUCCAGCAAUUAUGAAUGGGUAGAAGAUUGUAAAAUUUUAGAGCGACAAACAUGUAGAAUGAAUAUGUGAGAUAGAGAAAUGUACUGACAAGGAGUGUAUUUGAAAUGAAUCAUUGAUUUCAAUAGAUUAAGAGUUUUGUUAUGAGCAAAUAGAAAAGAUAUAGUCUAAACUUUAUUUCUUUUAUGAAAGAUAAUAUUUAUUAGUUUAAUUUUCAAUUUGAGAUGAGUUUUUUAGAAUAGAUCCUAUAUCUUUGAUAAAAAAAAAAAAAAAUCCAACCUCUAAUUUUGAUACAAUGAAGGUUGACGUUGAGAAUUAACUCAAAACUAAUCUAAAAAAUGUCUAUAUAAGUACAAUUCUUAGAGGUGCCUUGGAAAUUCUAGAAUGUAGAGAUAUUAAGUAGAAUAGGUUGCACGAUAGGAAACUGUGAAGAGGGCAGAGUGGGUUAUGCAAGAAUAUUAGUAAAAUGAACUUGUUAAGGGCUGUUAUUUGAAGCUGUUAUUCUAAAAGAUGCCUCCAUUCAUAAAUCACAUGUUGAGAGAAUUGAUGACUACUCUCAUAGUGUAGAAACUUUAGACAUCAUGAAUUUCAGUGUAAGAAAAGAUACAAGAGAUAAAUCUAGCAAUUUAAGAAUAAAAAAUAGAUGUAAAUAAGGGUAACAAUGUUGAAGAGGUGGUAAUCGGUGGCAGGGAAUAUAAAUGAAGUAAAAUGAAAGAGGAGAGUGGUGGGAAGUGGGAAAGGAAAAGAGAAGAUAUAUAGUCUCACAAGAGAAAAUUAUUAAUUAUAUAAUAUUAUAACAGAGAGAUUGGAGAGCAUUUUAGUUUUUUUUUUCUUUAUAUAUAUAUAGUUUAUGCAAAUUGAUUCGAAAAGUUUAACGUUUUAAUCUAAAUUUUUUAAUUUUAGUUUAGUUAGUUUAAUUUUUACAUUCUUAUGUAAUUUUAAUUGACUUAUCAAUUUUUAAAUUUUUGGUAUAUCACAUAAUAUAUUAUUAUUAUAUAAAUUAAUGAUUAAAUUAUCAAAAAACCUAACAUUUACAUUAUUUUGUAUUUUAAUUCAAAUGUUUAAAUUUUGAUUUAAUUGAUCCAAUAUUUAUAUUUGAUUGUAAUUUUAAUUAAUUUUAAAAAUCAAAAUAUAAGAAUUCGAAUAUCAAAUGUAAUAUUUUAUUAUCUUUUAAAUAUAAACUAAUUCAAAUAAUAUUAAUUCACAUUUAAUUAUAGUUAAAUUAUAUAUUUUAUUUUAAAGUUAAUAAUAAUUUAAUAAUUAAAUAGGCUGUCUAUAUGGAUAAAUUUUAUUUUGCAUUCAUAAUUAUGAAGAAUUUAUAAUAGAUAUAUUAUUUUUAAUUAUUUUAUAUAUAUUGUUAUUUAAAUUAAAUAAUAUAUUUAUUUAAAAUUUAAACUUUUAAAUUAAAAUGUGAUGAUAUAAAUAUUAGAUUUUUUUAAUUAAUUAAUCAAUUAAAAAAUUAUAAUAAUACACGUGCCGAUUAAAUAAUUAAAUUUAAAAAUUUACAGAUGGAAUAAAAUUACAUUAAAAAUUGUAAAAAUUGAGUUAAUUAAAUUAAAAUUAAAAUAUAAAUACCUGUAAAUGUUAAAUAUUUUUAAGUCAAUUAACCUAUAAUUUAUUUUAUACAUGUCUAUAAAUAAUUAAGAAUCUAUUUAUUAUUUAAAUUGUCAAAACUACAUUUGCAUAGAUUUAAUAAUUAUAUAGUUAUUUUAUUUUAUUAUUAUUUAAAAUAUUUAAUUUGAUUAGUUAGUUAUAUUAUUUUCUAUUUAAAUUAAAUUUAAAAUUUCUUAUAAUCUAAUAUAAAAAACUAACUAAAAUUUAAAACUUCCAUUUAAAAGAUCAUCAAAAGUAUGAAUAUUUUUAAUAGUGAAUAUUUGAGUUUGUCGCUAAAAUUUAUAUAUUAUAAAUUUACAUUAAUAUUAUUAAUAAUAAAAUAAAUAACAAAUAAAAUUUAAAAUGCAAAAUAUAUUUAGUGAAUUUAACAUUUCAAAAUUUUAUUAUUUUGCAAUAAUUUAUAUUAAUUUUUUAUGAUAUUAAUUAAAUUUGUAAUAUUAUUCAAAUAAAAUGUUAAAAUAAAAAUGUGCUAAACAGUUCUCAUGAGAGUUAGAGUUAAGCUUUGUAAAAAAAUUAAUUUUUAUUAGACUAAAAUAAAGUAAUUAAUAAUAAAAAAAUUAUAUAAAGUUAGUCAUUUUAAAUUUCUAAUUAUAUUAGAGUAAAAUUAAACAAUAAACUUUUUUUUCUCAUCUAUAUUAUACACAAUUAGACUAUAAUAAUAUUUUAAAAAAUGUAUAUUGCUAAUUAUUUAUUAAAUAAGGAAUAUUGUUUAAUAAAAUAAAAAUCAAUAUUCUACAAUUAUAUUAAUAAAUUUUAUUUAAAAAAAUAAAAUUAACAAAAUUAAUUAAUUUUUAACUAAAUUUAAUUAAAUAUAAAGUAAUGUUAUAAUAAUUUAAUAUUAUUAUUAAAUUUGGAUCAGGCCUAACUCACUCCAAAAGCUAGCUCAAGAGGGAGGAUUGUCUAUGACCCUUAUAAGGGGCACAUUAUCCUUUUCCACAACCGAUGUGGGAUUCUACAACCGAUGUGGGAUUCUACAACCGAUGUGGGAUUCAACACACCCCUCUCACGCCCAGAAUUUUACUGGUGCGUGACACAUUUAUAGGAGGCCCAAUAUCGAAUGGGGAGGCUCUGAUACCAUAUUAAAUUUGAAUCAGGCCUAACUCACCCCAAAAGGUAGCUCAAGGGAAAGAAUUGCCUAUUAUUCAUAUAAGGGGCACAUUACCCCUUUCCACAAUUGACGUGGGAUUCAACAAUUAUAAUAAUAUAAAAGAAAAUUUAUUUAGUUAUUCAAAAUGAAUUUAAUACAAUAUUGUAUACAAAAUUAAUAUAAAAAUUUAUUUAGUUAUUCAAAAUGAAUUUAAUACAAUAUUGUAUACAAAAUUAAUAUAUAUACAAUAUUAACGUACACAAUAUCUGGAAAUAUGAAGUUAAAAAAAAUUAUGAAAAAUAAAUUUAAAUUUUUUUAAAAUUUUAGGCUAAUUAAACUAUAUAAUUUUAUUAAAGGCUAAAUAGAUUCUAACUUAAUAUUAUUUUUAUAAUUUAAAACAUUAAAAAAUUUUAUAUUUUAAUUAUUAUAAAAUUUUUUAAAAAUAUAUAAAUAUAAUAAAUAAUUUUUAUAAUUAUAAAAAUAAAUUUUUAUUAUAUAAAAAUUAUUUUUAUUAUUAAAAAAUAAUAUUAUAUUAUUAAAAAAAUUAUAUUACGUUAGAUUAUGACUUAUUUGAUUCUUAGCAAUAAUAUAUAGACUUAAUUGAUUCAAAAUUUUGAAUUAAGAUUAUUUGACUCUUAAAAAAAGGUAGAGGCUUUACCAGCUGGCAGAGAGCCUUCUUUUUCCGAUUCUCUAUUUCCUUUCCUCAUUCCCAAUCUCCGAUCCAUCCCUAAAAACAACUGACGAGAGAUCGAUGAUGAUGAAGAUGCCUUGGAGGAGGAAGAGCAGGAGCUUCCAUCUUCAGCUACAAGGGGCAAUUGGUACCAUUCAAUCUCCAUUCCUAUUCUUAUUUACCAAUUAUUGCCAUUCUUCUACUUCCACACUUCAAGAUGCACGCUUCUUGACAAAUAAUUUCAAAUCUGCUUCUUUUACCCACCUUGAUGAUGCCAUUGCUUCCUUCAAUCAUGUAAUUCAUAAGCAUCCUCUGCCUUCUAGGAUUCCAUUUAAUAGAUUCUUAUCUGCCCUUGUGAAAAUGAAACAAUAUCACACUGUCCUUUCCAUGUCCAAAACAAUUGAAUUGCUAGGAAUCACUCACGAUGUUUAUUCUCUUAACAUCUUAAUUAAUUGCUUCUGCCGUUUACAUCUUGUGGAUUUUGGCUUCUCUGUUUUCGGAAAGAUGUUCAAAUUCGGAUUGGAGCCUACCACUGUGACAUUUACUACCUUAAUUAAUGGGCUUUGUAUAGAGAGUAAAAUGGACAAAGCAGUGGAAUUUUUCGAUGAUAUGCUUGCACGUGGUUAUCAACCUAAUGUUUAUACUUUCAAUGUGAUAGUAAAGGGAUUGUGUAAAUUUGGGAAAACAAAUCUGGCUAUUGAGCUACUAAAGGAAAUGGCUGAUAGAGGUUGUGAGCCAGAUGUGACAUACAAUGCAAUCAUUGACACACUUUGCAAAGAUGAGCUAGUUGGUGAGGCUUUAGAGCUCUUCUCUCAAAUGAGGAAUAAGGGCAUUUCACCUAAUGUCAUCACUUACACUAGUUUAAUUCAUGGUGCUUGCAAAUUAGGCCAAAAGAACCAAGCUUUGGCCUUGAUGAAUGAAAUGGUGGAGCAGAACAUAUUACCAAAUGUUUAUACCUUCAGUGUAUUGAUUGAUGCUCUUUGUAAGGAUGGAAUGGUUUCAGAGGCUCAAAAUACAUUCAAUGUAAUGAUUCAAAGAGGUGUAGAGCCUGAUGUGGUCACCUACAAUUCCUUAAUUGAUGGUCUUUGCAUUUCAGACCAAUUCCAGGAAGCUUUGGCCUUGUUGAAAGAAAUGGUGGGGAGGAACAUAUCCCCUGAUGUUUUUACCUUCAAUAUAUUGAUCGACACUCUUUGUAAGAAAGGACUGGUUUCAAAUGCACAGAAUAUAAUCAAGAUAAUGAUUCAAAGAGGUGUGGAACCUGAUGUUGUCAAUUAUAAUUCGUUGAUGGAUGGAUAUUGUCUGCGCAAGCAAAUUGAUAAGGCUAGAAAGCUAUUUGAUCUGAUGGUGACAAAUGAAAUAGCUAACAUUUUUAGUUACAACAUUUUGAUCAAUGGAUAUUGUAAGUGCAAAAUGAUAGAUGAUGCAAAGGAUAUUUUUGUUGAAAUGUCUCAUAAAGGUUUAGUUCCUGGUGUUGUUACUUAUUCUACUCUUAUAGAGGGUAUGUUUCAAGCAGGGAGGCCCCAAACUGCACAGGAGCUCUUUAAGAAUAUGUGCUCUCACGGUCAACAGCCAAAUAUAGUAACCUUCUCAAUUAUGAUUAAUGGCUUGUGUAGUCAGGGGAAUCUCGAUGAAGCACUCACCCUAUUGAAAAAAAUGGAGGAAAGUCAGUUAAAGCCUAAUCUUGUGACCUAUUGCAUUCUGAUCAAUGGUAUGUGCAAAGCUGGCAAGAUUAAUGAUGCCAAGGAACUGUUUUCUAGUCUUUUUGAAAAUGAUUUACAACCUAAUGUUCAUAAAUAUAGUGCAAUUAUGAAAGGACUCUGCCGAGAAGGAUUAAUAGUCGAAGCAUAUAAGAUUUUUAGAGACAUGGAAAAGGGAGGAUGUUUACCGAAUAGUUGUUGUUAUAAUAUCAUCAUUCAAGGGUUUCUCAAGCAUGAGGAUUUACCAAAAGCAUCAGAACUAAUCAAUGAAAUGGUUGACAAGGGAUUCUCUGCCGAUGCUACUACCACCGAAUUGGUAGUACGUUUAUUGUGCAAUGAUGAUCUCAUUCUGAGGCUUUUAAAGGUGCGCAAUGAGGGAUCAGCAAACUAAACUUGUUAUAUCUUGACCGAAUGUGUGUCUUGGAGCGCAACUUGGUAAUUACCUUUUUCAAAUGUAAUAGAUAUGUAAUUUAACUAACUUCUUCAAAUAUCAUUUUUAAUUUCAAUCAGCUGUGAUUCUCUUCCACAAAAUGAUAAUUUCUAACACUGCAAAUGACCUGUGGUGGAAACCAUGAUAUGUGUGUGCCUUUCGCUUGAAUUCAGACAUGGACUUGAUCUCUUUGAUAUAAGAUUGUUGAUGAAUGGAGGUCAUGGAUUUCUAAUGAUCAAGUUGCUGGUAAACCCACCAUCUCCUUUACAAUUUUUUUUGGUUGCUACUACAGCCUUAACUCGAGAGCUCAGUCCUAAAAUUGAGUUGAGAACUAAAACUAAUUGGUUCCAUACUACAAUGCUUAAGAAUCUUUAUCUAUUUUUAUUUUUGUGCUCAAUGACCUUUUAAAAUGCUAUCAUUUCUCUUGUAGGUACUUGCAACGAUAUGAUUACAACUUCACCUUUCUAACAAUAAAGGUAUAAGCAAUUCAUUUUUGCUUAGUUAUUGUAAUUUUUAAUAAUAAUGAAACUAAUGAUUAUAAACCAGUGUGCUUUAAUUGAGAAUUGAUUUAACAAUUAGACUACACUAUAAAUGCAGGGUGCAGGAUAGACAGUCCCAGAGUACAAGGUAAGAGAAUCACCAGACUUCUAUAGCUGUUGGUUGGAUGAAAUGUCACUAAAAUUACACACAACAGAAAAUGUUAUGGGAAUUGAGGGAAAAGCAAAAGAAGAGGAUGAAAAUCAGACAUAUGCAGCCACUAAGACAAGCAACUGCAAUUGGUCCUACUAGCGAUUGGAAUGCUAGUUUAGCUUCAGUUAUUUAACAGGACUUUUUGUCCAAAUUUAUUUAUGAACAAGUUCAUAAAAGGCAGGUUAGCUCUAUAUAUAACACAGGUAUAAUCAAAGAAGGUGGCAGGAAAAAAGGCAGGAAAAAUGUCAAUGCAAAGAAACUUCAUCUGAUUAAAUGGAAUACUCUUUCGUUGCCUAAAAAGAAAGGUGGCUUAGGCAUGAAAGAGAUCUCUCUUCAAAUUCAAGCUCUUUUGUUCAAAUGGCUUUGCAGAUUUGAAAAUCAUAGGGGUUCACUAAGUUCAACUUCUUCUAUCCAAAUAUUCUUUCAAUUUGGAGAAGGGUAUCUCUCUUGCUCCAGGAAAUUGCAUUUCUUCCCUCCAGAAAGACAUUCCAGCUAAUUAAAUUAUUAAUAAGUAAAAAAAUUAAAUUAUUAAUAAAUCUUUAUUUUUAUUAAAAUUAACUGUUUAAUCUCUAUUUCUAAAUCGCUCAAUUAAAACAUUUUGAAUUUUAUAAAGUCAAACUCUUCAAUAUUUUUAUCGAAUAAAAUAUUAGUAAAUAUAUUUUUAAUUUUAAUUAGAAAAAUUAAAUUAUAUAUAUAAAAUUAAAAAAUAAAAAAAAAAUAUUUAAUCAAAUAACAUAGAAAUAAAAAAAAUUAAACAGUCCAUUUUAAUAAAAUAUAAAAAUCAAAUAAUAAUCCGCUCUUUUAUAGUUUAAAGUAAUUUUUUGGAUACUUCAUAGCAAAUUCUCAAUAAUUUUACCAAUUAUAUCUACCAUUUAUAUACGUCUUUUUUCAAGUUUUAUUUUUUUUUCUAUUCAUGCAUUGCAUUGAUUUUUAUUUCUUAUGAGAAUUGCUGGCAAAAUAAUAUUGUAUUGUAGGAUGCUUUAUGAACGGUAGAUGUUAAAAAUAUAAAAUAAAAACUAGUUUAUUAAUUGUUGAUAAGCCUAUGUACCAAUAAGCAAAUUAAUUUCUUAAUUCACUUUCUACACGCUUGCACUCAUAAAUAUUGGGGUGAGCAGUCGAUCGAAUCGAAUUAAUUUAAAAAUUCGGUUCAGUUUUUUAUUUAUUUUGAUUCGGUUCGAUUUUUAAUUUUAGAAAUUUCAGUUGUUUCGGUUCAGUUCGAUUUUGAUCAGAAAAAAAUCGAAAAAACUGAACCGAAUCGAUUAGUGAUAAUAAUAUAUUUUUUUCAAUAAUAUAAAAAAAUUAAAUCAUAUUAAGAUUAAAAUAUUUUAAUUAAAUUUUAAAAUACUAAAAAUAAAGUGAAAAAAAUAAAAAAUUUAUUAAAAAUCAAAACCGAUUAAAUCGAACUGAAUCAAAUCGAUUUAAUUCGUUUAGUUUCUGACUAAAAUAAAUUCGGUUUGAUUUUUAUAAAAACUAAAAAUUUCAAUUUUCAAUUUAUUCGAUUCAGUUCAAUUUUAAACCGAACUGACCGAAUGCUCAUCUCUACAUAUAUGUAUACUUGCUAUUCGUUUUACACUAAACCCUUGAAAAAAAUUAAUAUAAAAAUAUACUCACAAAUUUAGUCUAGUGGUAAUUACAUCUAAGUAAAUAUGAUGAGUGAUGUCAGAUCCUACUUUCUCAAUCUUUAAUUCUUAUUUCAAAAAAAAUUAAUAUAGAAAUUAAGACUUUAUUUAUUUUAUAAAAAAUAUUUUAUAAAAAUAUUACUCUAUAAGAAAUAUAGUUUAAUAAUAAAAAAAUUAUUAAUUUAAGGUGCUGACUUCAUAUUUUUUAUUUUUUAUUUUUUCAAAAAUUAAUUAUAUAAAAAUAAGUAUAAAUUUUUAUAUAAUGGUAAGAAAUAAUAUAAUUUUUUUUAAAAUAUGAUAUUUAAUAGUAAAAUAAUAGUAUAAAUAAUUUUAUAAAUGACUAUAUAUAAAAAUAUUAAUAAAUUAUCUUUACACAGUAUAUAAUGUUAUAAUAAAAAAUUAUUAUUCGAUAAUUGUCAUAUAAAAAAUUUAUUAGUUAAUUUUUUAAUUUUAAAAAAUACAUUAAAAGUUUAUGAAAUUUUAAAAAGUCUACCGAUGAGUCCUUACGUUAAUUUUAGCCGCUAAGUAUUAUAAAAAUAAAAAGUACUAUUUAAUCUUUAUAAUAUAAGAAAACUCACAAAUUAAUUUAUUGAUUUUGAAAAAUAUAUUAAGAUAUUUCUAAUUUUAAAAAAUUCACUCAUUAAUCUCUUCAUUAAUUUUAGUUGUUUAGUUUUAUAAAAAAAAAAUUUAAUGUUUUAAUAUGAAAGAACUAAUUAGUAAAUAUUUUUAUAAAAUUGAGAGAUCAACUAAUAAAUUUUCUCUUACUACAUAAAUUAAAUAGUAAAAUAUUUAAUAGGUGAAAUUAAUAAAAUAAUUAAUUAAUAUAUUUUUAGUAUUUUAUGGAUGCUUUAAUGUUUUUUUUUUAAAAUAAAGUGACUAACUAAUUUAUUCUUCUAUAUCAUAAAGAUUAAAUAAUAAAUUUUACUUAUAAAAAGAUUUAAAAUAUCUUCAAUAUGAAUGUACUAAUUAAUAGGUAUUUUUAUAAAAUUAAAAAAUUAAUUAAUAAAUUUUUAAUAUUACAGAAAUUAAAUAAUAAAAUAUUUAAUAAUUAAAAUUAAUAAAAUGACUAAUUAAUAUAUUUUUUAAAAUUUAAAGGAUUUUUUAUUUUAUUUUUUAAAAUUAAAAAUCAAUUAAAAAUUUUUUAUAUUACAAUAAUUAAAUAAUAAAUUUUCCUUAUGAUAAUAAAAUAAAAAUAUAUUUUAUAAAUUAAUUAAUUAAAUAUUUAUUUAAUAAUAUGAAUUUAACUGAUGAGAUAAAAUUUUAAAAUUUUUAACGUAAUUUAAUAAAAAUUAUUAAAAAAAGGAAGCGCAAUGAUAACAAAUAUAUUUUUAAUUUUUUUUUUGUUAAUGAUACAUAUAUAACUAUUAAUAAUAUAAGUUAUUAAAAUAAAAAUAAAUAUUUUUUUUAAAUUUCAUAUCAAAAAAAAUAUCACCUAAAACUACUAUAAAUUAAUAAGUAAUAUAAUUUAUAAACCAUAUAAAUUUACUAUAAGUACAAAUUGAACUUCUCAUUUUUACUGAAAAUAUUAUAUAUUUAAUUAUUAUUAAUAUUUAAUUAUUUUUAAUUAUUAUUAUAUUUUAAAUUUAUUAUACAAGAAAGUAAUAAUUCUUUAUUUAAAUUAUAACAACAACUUUUAUUGUUAUUAAAAUUUUUUAUCAUCAUAUUAAUUAUUAUUAAAAAAAUAAAUUUAUUGUCAUUAUUAUCGAUUUAAUAAUUAAUUAUAGUGUGUCGUAAUUUUUAAUGAUAAAACUUUUCAUGACAACUUAACGACCAAAUAAAAUGAUUGUUAAUUAUUUUUAAUAAUUAAUUUUUAAUAUUUAAUGAUAAUUUUAAUGAUAAAACUUUUAAAUUAUAAGUAAAAUAUAUGAAAGUACUUAACUCACUCAAGAAAAUUUUAUCUAUAUUAUACAUGUAUAUCAUAAAAUUAGAAGUAAUAUUUGCUAAUUAAUGAUAAACUAUUAUAUGUAAUGUCAUGUCAUUUCAUAUUUUUUAACGAUAUGUAUUUGUAGGAUUCUAAACUUUAAAAAAGUGCCAUAAUAUAUUUGAAUUAUUUAUAAGGUUUCAUGACAUACCUGAAUUAUUUAUAAGUGAAAUUAAAAUAGUUUUACAAUUUUAAUAUAACAUGAAGCUUUUACGGUAAGAAGAUUUUUUUUUAUUAUUGUAAAAAAUAUAUAGUGAGUUUCAAAUUCAAAAUUUAUGCAUUGUGUAUAAUUUUAUUAUUAUUAAGUAAUUAUUAAAGGUGAAAUUAGAUAAUAAUUUGAUUUUUGUUGUAACGAUCUAAUAAUCAGACCGUUAUUGGUACUAGGGUUCAAAUCGACUUAAGGUCGUCAGGAUUUGUAUCAAGUCUACUAUACAUUCUGCUAUAUCUAAUAAAAUUUCAUAUAUGAUCACAAGAUUUAACAAAAUAUAGACAUUUCAUGAACCAAGACUCGACUUGUAUAUGUAUUAAAAUUGAAAUCAUAAAAUUCAUACUAAAACUCUCAUCAAAUACUUCAGUAUAGUCAACAAAACAUGACUCAAACUCAGUUUAAAUAUAACUCAUAAUUAAAAUUUUUAUAUAAGGAUCAUGCAAAUAAGGAUUUACAAAUACAAAUACUAGGGCAAAACACAAUUCUAAAUCAUCAAAUAAUAUAUGUCCACAUCUAUACUAUUAUAAUAGACUAUACCAGUAAUUCAGUCGUUAUUUAUUUCAUCAUUUUAAUUACGUUAUUUUCUUCUUUAAUCUUUCUUUUUAAAUCAAUUUAUCCAAUAAUAAUUUUUUUAAACUUUUCUUUUAUCCUACCUAUCAUCUAAUUUAAAUGAAGUUAAAGUAUUUAUAGAUACAUUUGUUUACCCUAUCGGCAUAUUUUUUUAAAUUAAGUAAAAGACAAUCAGUUUUGAUUAAUGAAUUCAAUGUCUAUUUGUAUCCAUUGAAUUUUACAAAUGAAUUUUAUAUUUAUUCAGAUAUAUGUUUGUUUAAUUUUAUAAAUAUAUUAUAUAUCUAUUUAUAAAUUAAAUUGUGUUUAUUUAAUUUUAUAGAUGUAUCACUCGGUUUGCGAAUACAUUUAUGUCUAAUGCUAAAUAUGUAAAAAAAAAUCAAUAUAACAAUUCUAUAUUUAAUCUUUAUGUUAAUUUACAUUUCAAUUAAAUAUAUUUAUUUUUUAAUUUCAAUUUAAUACUUAAUGAGUUACAAAACUCACUAUUUUUUUAUAUUAAAUUCCAUUUUAUUAUGAUUUUGAUAUAAAUAAUUAAUUUUUACUUAAUUUGAAGCGAAAAUGAAAAAAAACAAAAAAUACUGUUUUAAAGCUUUUUUUUAUUAUAAGGUACAACCUUAUCUAAAAUUGUGACCCAACUUGGAUGGCUAUAUUGCGGUCUUUCUGGUUGCCAGUAAUAAAGAGUUCAAAACUAUUUUUAAAUAGAUGCAAAUACAAUCAUAUUAAGAUUAAGAUAAGAGUUAUCUAGUAGAUUUAUUUUAUUUUUUCUUUUAAACGGCGAAUAAUUAUUCUUUUAUUUAGGAAAAUCCUAUAUAAAUGCCACUUUAGAAGUAGAUCUCUCAUCUCUUCUCCUCUUGCCCACACCCUCUUUUCAGUUUCUCUUUGGCCGAGCCUCCUUCCCCUUUUCUUUUAUUUUCUGCAAUUUUAUUAUAACCUUUAUAGGCUAAACUCUUUUUUUAGUUGAAGGUUAAUCAAGUUAAUAUUUAAUUAAGUCGUAAGAUUUAGUUCUUAUUUCUAUUCAUCUGAAUUUCUUUUUUCAAUUAAUUUCUAUUUUCGAGUAAUACCAUCUCCAUUACUGUUCUUUAGAAAUUUAAAAGGUUUAUUAAAUCUCUUAGAAAGAAAACAUAUUGCUAAUUAACUCCAAGUAAAUAUGAAAUUAUUUUAUUGUAUUAAUAUAAAUAAUAAUUAGCAUAUUUCUUUAUAUUAAGAAAUUAAUUAAUUUGGUUUAAAUAAUUCAUUUGCUAUUAUCGAUCAAGUUUGAGUUCUUCUCUUCUUAAAACUGUUAAUUAAUUAAAUUUACACGCUUAUGAAAUUAUUAAUUAACUAAAAAAUUAAUUUAAAUGCUAUACAGAUUAAUUUAAUCUUAAGAAAUAAUAGGUGAAAUUUGCUUAUUUAAACACUAUAAUAAAAUAAUAAACAAUCGAGUGAAUAUCUUUUUAAUUAAUGAUGGGUUGCAAAUUUAUUAAUUUUAAUUACUUUCAACUGAAUUUUAAUUUGAUUAUUUAUUUUAUCAUUUUAAUUAUAAUAUUUUAUUUCUUCUUUAGUUUAUUUUUAAAAUCAACUUCUAAUUUUAUUAUUAUCUCUUUUAUUUCAAAUAGUUCUUUUUUUCUCAAUUUUCAUAAAUAUUAAACAAUUUUAAAAUAUAUGUGAAAUCAAUACUUAUUUAACUCCAAAAUUUUUUAAAUUAAAAAAAUUAAUUUUAAAUUGAUAGAUUUGACGAUUGUAAAUAAAUUUUUAAUUUUAAUUUCUAUUCCAUUUAUAUUCAUUUAAAUUAAUCAAUAAAUUUUAAAUUUUAUAAAUUCACCCUCUAAUUUAAACUUUAAUAUUUUUAAACUUAAACUUAUUAUUAAAAUUUUAUCCCAAUCUUUUCAAUUGUAAUUAAAUUUAUUUAUAAAUUAAUUUUUAAUUAAAAACACAUAAAAAAUAAAUAAUGAAAAACUGGAGAAACCUCUAUUUUAAUCAAUUUUUUUUAAUUAGUUAAAUUUUCUUGUGAAAUACUAAUUUUUUUCGUGGUGAAAUUGUUAAUGGUUUUUUAAUUUAAUAGAAAUAUCAAGUAGGUUAAAAAAAUUAUGAAAAUAAAUUUAAUUAAAUCUCUUUUAUUAAGAGUCAAAUAUAUUCAAUUUAAAAUUUUUAAAAUUUUAAGUCAAUUAAAUUAUAUCAUUUUAUUAAGGGCUAAAUAGAUUUUAAUUUAAUAUUAUUUUUUAAUAAUAAAAUAUUAUUUUUAUAAUUUAAAAUAUUAAAAAUUUAAUAUUUAAUUAUUAUAAAAAAUUUUAAAAUAUAUAAACAUAAUAAAUAAUUUCUAAAAUUAUAAAAAAAUUUAUCAUAUAAAAAAUAUUUUUAUUAUUAAAAAUAAUAUUAUCUUAAAUUAUAAUUUAUUUGACUUUUGAGUAAUAGUAUAUAAACUUAAUUGAUUCAAAAUUUUGAAUUAAGAUUAUUUGACUGUAAAGACUUAAUUGGAUUUAUACUUAACAAAUUAUUAUUAUAAAAUAAUAAAUUUAAUUUGUUAUUAAAUAAUAUUUUUAUAUGAAAAAUUAAUUAAAAAAAUUACAAAAUGUGGUGCAUAUAAACAAUUAGUAAUGCAUUUCCUUUUGUUAUCCUUACCACUUUACCAGCUGGCACAGAGCCUUCCUUUUCCGAUUCUCUAUUUCCUUUCCUCAUUCCCAAUCUCCGAUCCAUCCCUAAAAGCAACUGACGAGAGAUCGAUGAUGAUGAAGAUGCCUUGGGAGGAGGAAGAGCAGGAGCUUCCAUCUUCAGCUACAAGGGGCAAUUGGUACCAUUCAAUCUCCAUUCCUAUUCUUAUUUACCAAUUAUUGCCAUUCUUCUACUUCCACACUUGAAGAUGCACGCUUCUUCACAAAUAACUUCAAAUCUGCUUCUUUUACCCGCCUUCAUGAUGCCAUUACUUCCUUUAAUCAUGUAAUUCAUAUGAAUCCUCUGCCUUCUAGGGUUCAUUUUAAUAGAUUCUUAUCUGCCCUCCUGAAAAUGAAUCAAUAUCACACUGUCUUUUCCAUGUCCAAAACAAUUGAAUUGCUAGGAAUCUCACACGAUGUUUAUUCUCUUAGCAUCUUAAUUAAUUGCUUCUGCCACUUACACCUUGUGGAUUUUGGCUUCUCUGUUUUUGGUAAGAUGCUCAAAUUCGGAUUGGAGCCUGACGUUGUGACAUUUACUACCUUAAUUAAUGGGCUUUGUAUAGAGAAUAAAAUGGACAAAGCAG